GACGAACGCUGGCGGCGUGCUUAACACAUGCAAGUCGAACGAUGAGCCCGGAGCUUGCUCCGGUGGAUUAGUGGCGAACGGGUGAGUAACACGUGAGUAACCUGCCCUUGACUCUGGGAUAACUGCGGGAAACUGUAGCUAAUACCGGAUACGACCCUCGGCGGCAUCGCCAGGGGGUGGAAAGAAUUUCGGUCAAGGAUGGACUCGCGGCCUAUCAGCUAGUUGGUGAGGUAACGGCUCACCAAGGCGGCGACGGGUAGCCGGCCUGAGAGGGUGACCGGCCACACUGGGACUGAGACACGGCCCAGACUCCUACGGGAGGCAGCAGUGGGGAAUAUUGCACAAUGGGCGCAAGCCUGAUGCAGCAACGCCGCGUGAGGGAUGACGGCCUUCGGGUUGUAAACCUCUUUUAGUAGGGGAGAAGCGAAAGUGACGGUACCUGCAGAAAAAGCACCGGCUAGCUACGUGCCAGCCGCCGCGGUAA
rnacentral:rRNA from 1 species